GAUGAAUGCUGGCGGCGUGCCUAACACAUGCAAGUCGAGCGGUAAGGCCCCUUCGGGGGUACACGAGCGGCGGACGGCUGAGUAACGCGUGGGAACAUGCCCCAAAGUGAGGAAUAAGCUCCAGAAAUGGAGUCUAAUGCCGCAUAUGAUCUUCGGAUUAAAGGAUUUAUCCGCUUUGGGAGUGGCCUGCGUACGAUUAG
rnacentral:rRNA from 1 species